rnacentral:rRNA from 1 species
ACCUACGGGGCGCAGCAGUAGGGAAUUUUCGUCAAUGGGCGCAAGCCUGAACGAGCAAUGCCGCGUGGACGAGGAAGGUCUUCGGAUCGUAAAGUUCUGUUGAAGGGGAAAAAGAGCGGAGAGAGGAAAUGGUCUCCGAUUGAUGUUACCCUUCGAGGAAGUCACGGCUAACUACGUGCCAGCAGCCGCGGUAAUACGUAGGUGGCGAGCGUUAUCCGGAAUGAUUGGGCGUAAAGGGUGCGUAGGCGGCCUGCUAAGUCUGGAGUGAAAGGUACCGGCUCAACCGGUACAGGCUCUGGAAACUG